rnacentral:rRNA from 1 species
UACAGAGGUCCCGAGCGUUGUUCGGAUUUAUUGGGCGUAAAGGGUGCGUAAGCGGCGGAGUAAGUUGGGUGUGAAAUCCCGGGGCUUAACCUCGGAAUUGCAUUCAAUACUGCUUCGCUCGAGUACUGGAGAGGAGGCUGGAAUUUACGGUGUAGCAGUGAAAUGCGUAGAGAUCGUAAGGAAGACCAGUGGCGAAGGCGGGUCUCUGGACAGUUCCUGACACUGAGGCACGAAGGCCAGGGGAGCAAACGGG